CAUCUAUCUAUUUAUUACCAAAAUUUAAUAUCUAAGAAAAGAUAAAUUUUGGGUAGCACUAUGUUCUAUCCGAUGCAAAAAUUGGAAUAUUUAUCAGCUGACCCUCCCAGUAAAUCUUGCUAAAACGUUGUUGUUAAAAGGUGUUUAACGUGGGCGCGAUUUUUUUCCCCCCCUGAAAGUUUUUCAAAUAGUUUUGUUCAAUCAACGAUUCACCCCUUCGGGUGGCAUAAUGGUACUUUCCAGGAAGUCCUGUGCAAUGUGCAUCUUUGGUGGUCAAAGUAGGCUUCUAAAUAAUGCAUCCAUGGUUCCGUUAAGAAAAAAUUUCAACCAAAACAACAAAACAUUUUCUUAAAAGGAUUACAGGAUAGACUAAUGUGUGAAGUGUCUAGAGAAAGCUAACUAUAUAACGGUACCUGCACCUCCUUUUCUCCUGAGUAAGCCAACAUGCCAGACUGGUUCAUUGCGUGUGUGGUCAUUAGCCUGUUAAGUGUUAUAACGGGAGCUGCUUACAUCUUGUACUCGGGACUGCUCUCAGACAUUACCGUAUUGACUGGCUCUCCUCCUAUAAAGAAGAUAACUUUCGCAUACAAAUUCAAACAAGGACCGUACAAAAAUUGCGGACAACUUUUUAAGGAGUCUCACACUAUUGGACCGAAGCUUUCAUGUAUUGGUGUGUUUUAUGAUGACCCUAAAAAGGUGCCGGAACCACAAUGCCGCUAUGCCGUUGGCAGUAUUCUGAGUGAGGGAGAAAAGAAGGCGGAUGAGGAGCUUCUGAAAUGCUACGAGACGUCAGGCUUUAAUGUGUUUUCCUUUCCUGAAGUCACUCACGUGGUCACUACCUCCUUCCCCCACAGGACGUUUUUCUCUGUCCUUCUGGGAGUAAGAAGAGUUUACCCACGGCUACAGCACUACAUCAAGGAAAGGAGGCUGUGUGCACACCCGUUCCUUGAGAUCUACAGAGAGGGUCAGAUUCAGUUCAUGGCUCCCUUGGCUCGGCAGGGAGAUUUCUAUAUCCCUGAAGUCCGCUGGGUAGAAAAGAGGCUGUCAGAACAAGAGGAACUGUACAGUGACACAGAUGUCUCAGGUGCAGAAUCGAACAGUGAAUACAGCUCAGGGAGUGGGGUUCUCCUGUCAGACAGCAGGGAGACGUCCCCGGCAGAGUCGACGGUCCACACUGUGCCCAUGCAGGAUAAAGGGAACAGAGACUGCAGGGAGAGAAGCUCGAGGGGGACCUCGUUUAAAGAGCUGGACUGGGAGCAGUAUGGUGGGCAACAGGCAGACAGUGAGGAGCAACUUCAUGGAGACUCCAACCAGAAGAGCCAAGAGACUCCCACUCAGGAGUGGUGGGGUGUUGUUGAGGAGGAGUAAACAUUUAGUGAGACAAGAAUAAAGCAUUGAAAUUCAAGAGGUUGGGAAGUGCAGAUAUAUAAAAGUGUGUCUCAUUAUGUGUUCAUGUCCACAUAGGGGAAUAUUGACGGAUAAAGCAGUCGAUAUUAUAUAUUUUUGUUGAUGUGAACAAAUCCAAUGAAAAGACCAAAACCAACAAUUUCUCAAUACUUUCAGACCUCCCCUAUGCUGAAAUUAUUUGCAAGGCAUUAGUCGUUAAAAACAGCUCAUGAAUGUAUAAAUAUAAAUACAUAAAUGAUAUUAGCAAAUAUUAGUCAAGCAGGAGAAAGUAGUCCCUCUCUGGGGGCUGCUUUUAGCUGCCCAUUAAUGCACAUUAGGGGCCCUAGUGGGCAUGUAUGACAGUAGGACAGUGUAUGCAGAAUCAAUUCUGAAUAAACAUAAACAUACAGUCUCCAGUGCAACAGUGUCUCAUGUAGUAUAUUUUUAAUAAUUACUGGACAAGAAUGGAGGUUUAUGGUGCAAAGCCUUCGGCUACACGUGCAGCACUUUUUUAGUUGAAUCAAUUAAUUGUCAGUUUUUGGUCUUUUCAUUGAAUUUGUUGUUGAAAAAUUAUAGAAUAGAAACAGACUUGUUUUGUGCUUUUCUAAGUGACAGUUAAGACAGUUUUAUAGGGAAAGUACUCAAAUGUACUAUAUUUCCACUUGAAAUCUUAUUCAGGUAGCCUGAGUUUCUUGAAACUUUUUAAUAGAAAUGAUGAUGUUUGUCAAAAUGAUACAAGAUGACUGAACUGAGCAUUUGUUUGCCCAGACAUUUUACUUGAACGUUUAUCAAUAUUUCAUUUCCCCAGUUACAAUACUGUACCUGUAGAAGAACUGAGUUGUUUGACAGUUGUCUUCAUUUUGCUGUACUGAUGCUAAUCACAUACCUGACUUUCUAACAAGACUUUUGUUUGUUAGAGGGCUGAUAAACAUACAGGGAAUUCUAUUCAUUUCUAAGAUACUGAUUCACCUGUUUUGUAAAUGGCCUUAAUUUUAUUCAUUAAUAACUGACAGAAGGCACUGAAAUGAUUAUUAGCAUGUAGACAAAGUGAUCUGUAUUGUUUUUUUAAAAUCACUCACGUUUGUCUGAAUAUUUGUCAGCCUUGUUUUAAUCGUUAUGUGUAUUUUUACAAGACUUGUGUGUUAGCAUUGCACUGUUGGUGAUGCGCAUGUUGUAAUGUAAAAUUUACUUCAUAUCCAAAGAAGAAAGGUGUGCACUAGCACUGCAUCAUUACCCUCUUCCUGUGCUCUCCGGACCACCUCUGAGACUGAGGACAUGAGUGUGCGGCAUGCUGUCGUGAUCAGUCAAGAAGACAGAUGACAAGACAACUGCAGCCUGAAAGACCACCUGUAGACCCACAAACUAUGCAUGUCCAGUCAUAUCCGUAUCCUUUAUCACUUAACAAACGAGAUCACACCGAGCUCCUCUCAGCUAGCCGAGCUCACUUAGUGGGUGCAGGCAGCUCAAAGGGAUGUCUGUAUGUGUAAUCAUGUGUGAGAGAAGCCACAUAUGCCAGUUUUGAGCAAAUAGCCUUUGCAUAUUCAAUGCCAAAAUGUGAAGAAUCUCAGGUUUAGAGUUUUUAUUUCUUUUUUCACUUUUUAUUUUAGUUCCUGUAGACAAAGACUGCUUGUUCUUCACUUUGCUGUUGAAUGAUUGACAGUGAUUCCCUCCUUGAAUAAAACUGUGGCAUUACAUUUCAGAUAAACUGAAAAGAUUGUGAAGCUGUGCGAAGUCUUAAGGAUUAACAUGGGGGGGGGAGGAAGAGCUGCAACCUCUAAUACGGGCUGAUUUGGGAUUUCAGACAACGAUGUUAUCCAGAUAACCCUUACUUUCAGUUUAUUUUCACCACAAUUAGUUUUUGUCUGAAUUGCACUUUUGAGACAUUUUAUCUGUCAGCAUGGAAGACAAGAGUACUGCAUGGAGCUCCUUAGCGGUCUCACUGGAUUUUUAGCGGCAGUUAUGUUGUUCCUUUGCCACAGCAACAUGGAAACAUGAGAAGAAAAAAAUAAUAAAUGAAACCAGCCUGUUACAGAAUCACUCAUUCAUUAAUUUACUCUAAAUUGGAGUAGCCUAAGAGACAGGAUGCUGAGCUUUUACCUGACAAAUGUUCUACAAAUAAGAUGAUCUAUUUGUGGUUGUUUACAGUUUUAAUCUAAAUGCUGAUCACUGUAAAAAUGGGAUUAAAUUCCCUGAGGAUGAAGUUAAACUAGAUGGAUGAGCUUUAAGAGUAAGAGUGAGGUCCUGAGAUACUUUCCGUGUGUCUAAUUAUAAAACCUCUCAGGGAGCAGUGGGUGUAUAUGUGGUGGUAAUUUGCUGAGCAAC